rnacentral:rRNA from 1 species
GCAUUAUUCUAUUAAGCGGAAGGAAAAGAAACUAACAAGGAUUCCCCCCAGUAACGGCGAGUGAAGAGGGAACAGCCCAAAUUUGUAAUCUGGCCCUUUUGGGGUCCGAGUUGUAAUCUCGAGAACUGUUUUCCGUGCCGGACCAUGUACAAGUCUGUUGGAAUAUAGCUUCAUAGAGGGUGAGAAUCCCGUACAUGACAUGGACCACCGGUGCUUUGUGAUACAGUCUCUAAGAGUCGAGUUGUUUGGGAAUGCAGCUCAAAUUGGGUGGUAAAUUCCAUCUAAGGCUAAAUAUUGGCGAGAGACCGAUAGCGAACAAGUACCGUGAGGGAAAGAUGAAAAGCACUUUGGAAAGAGAGUUAACAGUACGUGAAAUUGUUGAAAGGGAAACGCUUGAAGUCAGCCUUGUUCUUGGUUGUUCAGCCUUAGGGCGUAUUCAACUUUGAGCAGGCCAGCAUCAGUUUUGGGUGCCGGAUAAGGGCUUAGGAAAUGUGGCAGCUUAGGCUGUGUUAUAGUCCUUUGCUUGAUACGGUGCCUGGGACUGAGGAACGCAGCGAGCCUUUUGGCGGGUCCCCUCGGGGGCCUUCUCGCUUUGGAUGCUGGCGUAAUGGCUUUAAACGACCCGUCUUGAAACACGGACCAAGGAGUCUAACAUGCUUGCGAGUAUUUGGGUGGCAAACCCGGAUGCGUAAUGAAAGUGAAUGAAGGUGGGAACCGCAAGGUGCACCAUCGACCGGUCCGGAUUUUUAAUGAUGGAUCCGAGUAAGAGCAAGUACGUUGGGGACCCGAAAGAUGGUGAACUAUGCCUGAAUAGGGUGAAGCCAGAGGAAACUCUGGUGGAGGCUCGUAGCGGUUCUGACGUGCAAAUCGAUCGUCGAAAUUUGGGUAUAGGGGCGAAAGACUAAGUCGAAACCAUCUAGUCAGCUAGGAUACUGCGAG